GACGAACGCUGGCGGCGUGCUUAACACAUGCAAGUCGAACGGUAAGGCCCUUUCGGGGGUACACGAGUGGCGAACGGGUGAGUAACACGUGGGUGAUCUGCCCUGCACUUUGGGAUAAGCCUGGGAAACUGGGUCUAAUACCGAAUACACCUUGCUGGUCGCAUGGCCUGGUGGGGGAAAGCUUUUGCGGUGUGGGAUGGGCCCGCGGCCUAUCAGCUUGUUGGUGGGGUGAUGGCCUACCAAGGCGACGACGGGUAGCCGGCCUGAGAGGGUGUCCGGCCACACUGGGACUGAGAUACGGCCCAGACUCCUACGGGAGGCAGCAGUGGGGAAUAUUGCACAAUGGGCGCAAGCCUGAUGCAGCGACGCCGCGUGAGGGAUGACGGCCUUCGGGUUGUAAACCUCUUUCAAUAGGGACGAAGCGUAAGUGACGGUACCUAUAGAAGAAGCACCGGCCAACUACGUGCCAGCCGCCGCGGUAACAC
rnacentral:rRNA from 1 species